UACGUAGGGGGCAAGCGUUGUCCGGAUUUAUUGGGCGUAAAGAGCGUGUAGGCGGCUUUACAGGUCCGUUGUGAAAACUCGAGGCUCAACCUCGAGACGCCGGUGGAAACCGUAAGGCUAGAGUCCGGAAGAGGAGAGUGGAAUUCCUGGUGUAGCGGUGAAAUGCGCAGAUAUCAGGAAGAACACCCGUGGCGAAGGCGGGUCUCUGGGCCGAUAUUGACGCUGAGGAGCGAAAGCGUGGGGAGCGAACAGG
rnacentral:rRNA from 1 species